rnacentral:lncRNA from 1 species
GUAUUAUAAGGGGAGAGACGCAUGGCUGACCUCAUCCAUACUAAGAGGAAAGGCUCCUGGCUUACCUCAAGAGAGACAUCUGGCCGACCUCAGGCAUCCUAAGGGGAGAGGCACCUGACCUACCUCAAUCAUCCUAACAGAAUUGACACCUGUCUGGCCUCAGGCAUUCUAAUAGGAGAGAAACCUGGCCGACCUCAGGAAUUCUAAGGGGAAAGACACAUGGCCAACCUCAGGCAUUCUAACAGGUGAGACACCUGGCCCACCAAAGGCAUUGUAAUUAUAGAGACACUUGGCUGACCUCAGGCUUUCCAAGGGGAGGGACACCUGUAUGGCCGGAUGGCCUCAUUCAUUCUAAUGGGGUGACAACUGGCCUACUUUAGGCAUUCUAAGGAGAGUCUCUGGGCUGACCUCAGGCAUUCUAUGGAGAGAAACACCUGGCCAUCCUCAGGCGCUCUAACUGAAGAGACUCCUGGCCAACUUCAGGCAUUCUAAGGGGAGAGACACCUGGUUGACCUCAGUCAUUCUGACAAUUUGUUGUCAAUAUUUGUAAAAAUUACUUCCCACAUAGAAUUUUAGAGUGCUGGCUUUUCUUCAAAAAACAGAGAAGAUCUGGGAUACUCUAUGCCAGUGUGAAGUAACAAGAAUAAAUGAAUAAAUUUAAAAAUUAGAAAAAAUCAUUUGGCUGCAGCUAAGUAACAUCCUUUUAUUUUAGUCUGGCCAUGCAUUUUCCAAUUCUCUAGGACUCCCUUACUCAGUAGUGCUUUAUGGCCAACUUUUUAAAAAUAAAUUUACCUGCUAGUAUCCUGUAUGCAUAGGAUUUAUGACACUGUAAUGAAAUAACCAACAGUGCAUCCAUACAACAGUGCACCAGUUAUUCAUUAAACUAGGUAAAACAUGUUAUUAUAAACAUAAUCUAUUUAUUUGCAUGUCUCCGUGUUGUUUUGUUUUGAGAUAGAGUCUCGCUCUGUCGCCCAGGCUGGAGUGCAAUGACACAAUCUCAGCUCACUGCAACCUCCGCCUCCCAGGUUCAAGUGAUUCUCCUGCCUCAGCCUCCAGAGUAGCUGGGAUUACAGCCAUGUGCAAACAUGACAGGCUAAUUUUUUGUAUUUCAGUAGAGACCCAGUUUCACCGUGUUAGCCAGAAUGGUCUUGAUCUCCUGACCUCAUGAUCCACCUGCCUCAGCCUCCCAAAGUGCUGAGAUUACAGGCGUGAGCCACCACACCUGGCCAUGUGUUUUUGAGAAAAGGUCUUGCUCUGUCACCCAGGCUGGAGUGCAGUGGCACAAACAUGGCUCACUGCAUUUUCAACCUCCCUGGCUCAAGCAAUCCUUCCACCUCAGCCUCCUGAGUAGCUGAGAAUAAAGGCAUGAGAUAUCAUGCCUGGAUUAUGUUAUUUAUUUAUUUAUUUUGUAGACAUGGGGUCUCACUAUGUUCCAUAGGUUGAUCUUAAACUCCUGGGCUCAGGCAAUCCUCCUGCCUUGACCUCUCAAAGUGCUGAGAUUAUAGGCAUGACCCACCAUCCCAGGCCUGUGUUAUUGUUGUUAUUUUAUGUUGCAUAAAAAAUCACAAAGUGAGUGGUUUGAAAAAUUAGAAGUCUAUUAUCUCACAGGAGGCCAGGAGGCCAGGCACAGAUUAACUGAGCCAUCUGCUGUUACAUUUGGGAUGAUGGAGAAUAAAAGCCAUCUUUUUAAAAAAAUCUUAUCUGCAAGGGAAACAUCCCUAAUCACUAGAAUGUCAUAUUAUUAACACAAGAUUUGUUUCUAUUUUAAUUAGAAAACUAUAGAGUAUGCUUAGACCAGUAGCAAAUGGCUCUUCCUUGCUGUGGUUUGGGGGACAUUGGCAGGUGGUGAGUAUUAUUCUAUUCAGGCCUCUUGCCUAACUUGGUUUUAGAAGGCAUGAGGUUCUUUAUGGUUCUAUGUCUGUGGGUAAGGCUGCAGCUGCUGAUUAUGCUAAUUCUUGCUUCCUUGCAAAUAGCCAACUCCUUAUUUUGUGCAUUGCCAGCUAUCAACAGAGACAUUUUAGGAAUAAUUUUCAUGUUAAAGGCAGGCUUUGUUGUAGUGUCCUACUGUGAACUGUCCCAGCAUUAGACCCAUCAGAGGUUUGUGAAGAGAGCUCUGAUGUUAGAACAGUGAGCACAGUACUCUGCCAAUUUGCCCAUUACCUCUUCUGUCUCCCCUAGCAGGAACUACUGUCUGGCUUUCUCAAGAGGAACAUGAAUUGCUGCUCUAAUGGACUGUUCAUGGAUUUGAGAUCUUAUUUUAGUUAGGGAGGUUGAGACUUUCAUGGCUUCAUAAUUGAUGCUUGAGAAAACAUUCUUUCUAAUUGGAAAUUCUAACAAUCUCCAUAAAGCCUGUUUUGCUGUCCCUAAGGCUUUGAAUGCAUUCUUGUUUGGUAAUCAGAAUGAAAACAAACUUUUCAAAGCAAAUAAUUGUGUUUUUUUGUUGUUGUUUGUUUGUUUUUUGAGACGGAGUUUUGCUCUUCUUGCCCAG